GGCUCUAGCACCAAAGGAUGAAAAUGGAAAAAGAAGAAUAAAGAGAAAUGCUUCAAAGGAGAUUGUUCCAGGACUACCAGUAGUUCUCUACUAGGUUUACAAGAACUGAUCCAGCAAUGGAAUACAGAUGCACUAGUGAUCCCAGCCAAGAUACCAGAACCUGACCCAGAAAAUGUUUUGCUGCUAUUAUCCAGAAUUAACCUUUGAUUUUGAGGAGUGACUUUAAAGUUUGGCAGAAAAGAAGCAGAGUCAAGGACCAGGAAUUGCUUCAGUAAAGUUGCAAGAUACCAAAUCAACAUACAAAAAUGAAUAGCAUUUCUAUAUCAUAGAAAUGAAACAGCUGAAAAAAGAGAGCAAUCCCAUUUACAAUAGCUACAAAAAAAGGGAUCAAUUUCACCAAGGAGAUAAAAAAUCUCUAUAAGGUAAAAACCAUAAAACACUGAUGAAAGAAGUUGAAAAGGACACAAAUGGAAUGUCAUCCCAUGCUCAUGAAGUGGAAGAAUUAAUAUGAUUAAAAUAAACAUACUUCCCAAAGCAAUCUACAUAUUCAAUUCAGUCUAUACCAAAAUACAAAUGUCAUUUUUCACAGAAAUAGAAAAAAAAUCCUAAAAUUUGUAUGCAACCAAAAAAGAUCCUGAAUAGUCAAAUUCUGAGCAAACAGGGCAAUGCUGGAGGCAUUACACUAACUGAAUGCAAAAUACAUUUUCAUUGUAAGACUAUAAUA